UAGCGUAGGGACCAAGCGUUGCUCGGAAUGACUGGGCGUAAAGGGCGCGUAGGCGGUUUGUACAGUCAGGUGUGAAAUUCCCGGGCUCAACCUGGGGGCUGCACUUGAUACGUAUGGACUGGAGUGGGAAGAGGGUCGUGGAAUCCAGUGUAGAGGUGAAAUUUCGUAGAUAUUUGGGAAAGAACACCGGUGGCGAAGGGCGGCGACGCUGCCUGGA
rnacentral:rRNA from 1 species